rnacentral:rRNA from 1 species
GUAGGGAAUAUUGCACAAUGGAGGAAACUCUGAUGCAGCGACGCCGCGUGAGUGAUGAAGGCCUUCGGGUCGUAAAGCUCUGUCGCAGGGGAAUAACACAAUGAAGGUACCCUGUAAGAAAGGAUCGGCUAACUUCGUGCCAGCAGCCGCGGUAAGACGAGGGAUCCUAGCGUUGUUCGGAAUCAUUGGGCGUAAAGCGGAUGUAGGUGGCUAUGUAAGUCAGAUGUGAAAGCCUGGGGCUCAACCCCAGAAGUGCAUUUGAUACUGCGUAGCUUGAGUGUCGGAGAGGUUACUAGAAUUGUUGGUGUAGUGGUGAAAUACGUAGAUAUCAACAGGAAUACCGGAGGCGAAGGCGGGUAACUGGCCGAACACUGACACUGAGAUCCGAAAGCGUGGGGAUCAAACAGGAUUAGAAACCCGGUAGUCC